rnacentral:rRNA from 1 species
AUUGAACGCUGGCGGCAUGCCUUACACAUGCAAGUCGAACGGCAGCACGGGAGCAAUCCUGGUGGCGAGUGGCGAACGGGUGAGUAAUAUAUCGGAACGUGCCCAGUCGUGGGGGAUAACGCAGCGAAAGCUGUGCUAAUACCGCAUACGAUCUAUGGAUGAAAGCGGGGGAUCGCAAGACCUCGCGCGAUUGGAGUGGCCGAUAUCAGAUUAGCUAGUUGGGGAGGUAAAGGCUCACCAAGUCGACGAUCUGUAGCUGGUCUGAGAGGACGACCAGCCACACUGGGACUGCGACACGGGCCAGACUCCUACGGGAUGCAGCAGUGGGGAAUUUUGGACAAUGGGCGAAAGCCUGAUCCAGCAAUGCCGCGUGCAGGAUGAAGGCCUUCGGGUUGUAAACUGCUGUUGUACGGAACGAAACGGUGAGCUCUAAUACAGUUUGCUAAUGACGGUACCGUAAGAAUAAGCACCGGCUAACUACGUGCCAGCCGCCGCCGUAA